AUCACUUUUCAGUCUUUUGGCUAAGAUCAGUGUAGUACCUGUUCUUAUCAAUUUAAAAAAGUUUUCCAAUGAAAAGAAGAGGUAAAAUUUUCCUCACUUGAU
ensembl:snRNA U2 U2 spliceosomal RNA